GGUAAAGUGGCCGAGCAGGUGGCGGGUUGUAGCCCCGAAGACGAAGGUUUAAGCCCUUCCUUUAUCA
rnacentral:tRNA from 1 species